rnacentral:lncRNA from 1 species
AAGGGAAAUGCUAUGCUACCCGCUGCAGGCCCACGAUCACGACCACGGCUCAGUCUUCUGGUUAGUUCACGUAAAGGCGAUCUGUCUCCUCGUCGUACUGCCACGCCAGCUGGGUGCCAUCGGGAUCCUCUGCCUCUGGGGUACCUGUACCUGCUGGAAGUUUCGGAGGAAUCCGUGAGCCACGGGGACUCCGCAAUCUAAGGCCUUGGUGCCAUAACUAGUCAUGUUAUUGGGUAAGGAAGCGUGAAGUGUUUCAGGCUGGUGCAUCCUAAGUUUUGAAUAAGUGGCUAACUUACGCAAAAGAAGAAGUGACGGUGUUCUAUGCUAUCGGUCGUGAGUACCUGAUCAGAAAGUGAUCCUGAACACCUACCUACGGCAUUCAUAACCCCACCGUGUUCCGGAUCGAAGAGAGAUCCUCGAAGGGACAGUCACGGUUACGCACACAGUUGGCAUAUUUUAUUAGUUUAUGUUUAAGUUUUCUAAUACCGGAUGUUAACAAAAUAUUCCAAGUUGCCACAUAACCGCGGGCACGGCUUUCCGAAAGAUUAAACCCUGCAGGGGUGCUCCAACUAGUCCAUCACAAACGAACACAGGCCGCAAAGUCACCCUCUAUCACGAAUCUCGUGAUCUCGUCGGGUUCCUUAGAGGAAAACCUCAACUCUGGGGUAAACCAAAGCUUCACCGGGAUUCCUAUACGCAAGAUAUACCGCUAAGGCAAGACAAGACUAGCAGGACCUCCCGACGUGUCGACGACCCCGAUAAGAGCCGCGUAUCUCAGUCUCAGGACACGCCGGAUGGAACUAGCUACAGGUGCCAGACCUCAAGUUUCCUUGUGGUGGCCCCGCAGGCAGACCAGUUUGGACCAACACUCAUGAGGAGCACUGGCCCAGGUUGUUGAUUAGAAUCCUCGGGGUAGCUAUUCCCUAUGCGGAUUAUUAUUAGGUGAUUAGCAAAUAGUACCAAAGUUGGGUCCUGCCGGACAAGCCUUAACACUACGCGAUUUAUCAAGGGGGUCCCAAUAACAACCCCGAACGUGUUAGGAGCGAGCAUUAUGGAAUCAAACACCGGUAACCGGUAACUAAGGCGGCAAUAACGGAACAAGACACCCGGCAAAAAGGCUAGGCCUCCCGUCAUUUACCAAAUAUAUAGAUAUAUUAAUUUAAUAACAGAAAUUAACAUAAUUAUAUCAAGCUCACGACAACUCAUGAGUUAUUAUCACCUACAACUAACAAUGCUAACAUUAGUAGCUGAGCAAGCCUACCUAGCCAUGCAAGUUUGCUAGGAAGGAGUAAGGUGUUUAGGCUCAUGGCAUAUGAAGAGGUAAUAUAUUUUCAGUGGUAGGCAGCGAGCAAUAUGACGUAGAAUCGAAACUAACAUAACAAGUCUAGAUAUGGGAUCAAGGUCAUGUCAUCUUGCCUGUGAUAUCCUCAGCUUGGAAUGGUUCUGGAUCGUCCUGCAAGUACUCUCCUGACUCCACGUAAUCGGUCUCCGCUCCCGGUGCUACCCAACACAGGAAUAACAGCCAAUGAACAGCAGCACCACAAAAUGCAACAAUCACAUGAUGCAUGAGAUGAAAGUUGAGCAUGCACCACUAUUUCUAACACUAGCACAAGCAAGAUAAACUACAACGAGUUCCUGGACAGAACUUUGCACUAAACUAUUUGUACAUGCAUGGAAAUGAUAUGGACAGAUGCAUCUCGUAAAAACGGUGCAAAACCAUAUAAAGAACUUUGCAAACGGAGCUACGGAUCAACGGGAAUCAACGAAACACGAUAUGAAGCCCUACGUGAAAGAUUCAUCCCCACAGACACAAUUGGCACAAAUCUGGUGUUCCCAGGUUGCCAAGACAUAUAUUAACCCAACAUGGAUGAAAUGGAGCAAGGUAGAACACCCCAACAACAAUUAAACACAAACUUUGAACAAAAUGUCAAAACUACGCAAUCUGCCAGUUUCUGCAUCUUAGCUGUUUGUGAGCCACAUGCAACAUAGCUACAGGUCUUCAAACAUGACAAAUAAUAUAUGUGGAUGUUGACAACCAAGAACACUACCAUCUCCAGCAAGAAUCACAGCAAAAGGAAUUAAAAUCUAGAAGUUACAAGGCCACAAACUUUCCCAGAACCAUCAGUUCUCAGGGACUUAGUGAAAAUUUCUGCACCUGAGUUUCUGUUUCUGUUCUGAAGCCUUUUGACAGCAAUCAAAACACAAGCUACUGGACUCCAAAUGACUUGAAAAUUGACAGAAAGCUGCACAAACAUACCAGGUUCAAAACACUAGCACUAAACUAAGUCCAGUUCUCAACAUACUGACCUGCACAACCUUAUCUACAGGGGAAGAAAAUGUUUUCAGCAUUCCAGACUUAGUGAAAUUUUCAGAGUUCAAAAUUCUGGAAUUUUUCCAGCCACAUGCCCACUUUGUCUAGGCAUAGUUUGCACAUACAAGUUCCCAAGAGGUGUUUGACACCACUAUGGUAUUGAACACAAACCCCUACAACUAACACACCAAGAUCCAUGCCUUUGGGCUCCAUCUAUACCAUGGAAACAAAGCCCAAACUUUCAACAAAAUGAAAAAUGCAAAUCCAAAAGGUAUACUUUUAAGAUGACAAUGCAUAGGAGGGUUUCAUGUGCACAAUGACAAAGUGACAUGGGGUUUUGAACCCCAUGUUUGUGUCAUGCACAUCAACAACUCCAACACACACACAAUUCCUCUCAAGCACUAGCAUCAAGCUCACACACAAGAAAUCUUUGUAUAACAAAAGGGUAUACCACCCCCCACACAUGGGCAUGUGAUGGUGCACACUCUCCCAAGCACCACUAGUAUCUUUCUAGUAUUCAUGUCACCAACAUUGUGCAAACUACCACAACAAACCACACCCUCACAUGCUAUCAUAAAUAGCUAUCUAGUGCUAUCCCUCACCUCAAGACAUGUGAUGAGGGGGAGGCACCCACACCCCACUAUGUCAAAGCAAGCUAACAAAACUACAAUAUCCCUUAGACCACACCAAGAUUCACAAGCUAGGGCUUUACAAGAAUAGCUAGGGCAACUAAUCACCUCCAAACACUACACCCAAAUUUAACAAGGCACCUAGCAACAUGCCCUAAUCAGGGUUGGCUCCCCAUCACCAAGGUACAACCACUAUAAGAAUCACCGGCUAGCAAAACUAUUUAACACCCCUAGCAUGUAAAACAUUCUCACACUAAAUCUAUACCACUAUUCUAGCAGGAACAGGAGCAAUCACCACUGCGUAGGAGUUUGUAAAAUAAAAAAAAACAACAGGGAACAAAACUGAUGAGACACAAGUGUAGGAGUUAGGAAAACAGGAAAUGAGUAGGCAGGAAAAAGAAAAGAAUGCAAAAAUAAAAAUAAAAAAAAGAAACAGGGCUGCUGGGGUUCGAACCCAGUUCCCUGGUUUCCAGCACCACACAACCACGCCACAGCGCUACGGUGCUACUUGUUGACAGGGGAAGGGAGAUAUGCAAGGUAAUCUGUCUGCACUGCCAUGACCCGAAAUAAACAAGGAAAACAACCAAAAAGGCGCCGAGGGGGGGACUCGAUCCCUAGACCUCUCAACAGGCGCAUGCAUGCGACCGAGAGACACUACCAUCAGGCUACGAACCGGCGUCUGACUAACACUAGAAGGUAAAACAGAAGAACACGCCUCUCACGAGAAGCAUCCCGCCGGCGGCCAGACCGGAGGACGCUGGCGGCGCCACUCCCGGCCACCACCGGCGGGGAAAACCGACGGCGGGGCCCGCAGGACUCUCGGGGAACCCAUUUUUGGUCUAAGCACGGGAGAAGGAGCACCCUUGGCUGCCUUGAACUGCAGCGGCGUUCCUGCAUCCUGCAGUUCGCCUGGGAGCACGGGACAGAGAGCUUGACGGGCAGCCCUGCCUGCGUCGCUACGCUGCACGGCCGGCGUGGAGCUCGUGCAUUCGGCGCUGAGGGACGCGAGGAGAAGACCCGCACCUGCUGGGUGCCCACCUACGCGGGGAGGAAACCUUGUGCAAACUGCAAGCUCUUCUCUGAUGAUAUACGCCUACCGAGACCUAGGUGACACGACCCCAGCUGCCGGCGGCGAGGAGAGCUCCUCUGAUCAUGGCGCUGCUGCAGAGAGGGGGAGGAAGCCCUCUCCUGCACGGUACCUCCAUAACAUACCUACCCCACCCUGCUCCACUCGCGACAACUGCACCCCCACACACAGCUAUCGGACAGAGAAAUGCACACACGCUGGAACGAGCCGGACCGCGGAGGCGGAAGGAAGGAGGACGAGGACGCGGCCUCACCUUGAGGAGAAGAGGGGCGUCGAACGGGGAGGAGGAGCGUCGGAGAGGAAGAAGACGGCCGGACGAAGUCGUCCCGCCGAAGACCGAAGAAGGAGACGGACGCGGAUCGCCCGGUUCGUCCCGUUGACGAGGACGAGCUCGACGGGGGGGGCCGCUCCUCGGGGUCCUAGCGCCGGGAAUGGGACGCGGGGACUCACCCCGAGCCCCCGGACAUGGCGCCCAGUGCCGGAGACGACGGAUCGGCGGCUUGACGGGGGAGGCGCUGCACCCUCUCUCUCUGCUCUCUCUC